CUCUGGGAUAAGCCUGGGAAACUGGGUCUAAUACCGGAUAUGACUCCUCAUCGCAUGGUGGGGGGUGGAAAGCUUUAUUGUGGUUUUGGAUGGACUCGCGGCCUAUCAGCUUGUUGGUGAGGUAAUGGCUCACCAAGGCGACGACGGGUAGCCGGCCUGAGAGGGUGACCGGCCACACUGGGACUGAGACACGGCCCAGACUCCUACGGGAGGCAGCAGUGGGGAAUAUUGCACAAUGGGCGAAAGCCUGAUGCAGCGACGCCGCGUGAGGGAUGACGGCCUUCGGGUUGUAAACCUCUUUCAGUAGGGAAGAAGCGAAAGUGACGGUACCUGCAGAAGAAGCGCCGGCUAACUACGUGCCAGCAGCCGCGGUAAUACGUAGGGCGCAAGCGUUAUCCGGAAUUAUUGGGCGUAAAGAGCUCGUAGGCGGUUUGUCGCGUCUGCCGUGAAAGUCCGGGGCUCAACUCCGGAUCUGCGGUGGGUACGGGCAGACUAGAGUGAUGUAGGGGAGACUGGAAUUCCUGGUGUAGCGGUGAAAUGCGCAGAUAUCAGGAGGAACACCGAUGGCGAAGGCAGGUCUCUGGGCAUUAACUGACGCUGAGGAGCGAAAGCAUGGGGAGCGAACAGGAUUAGAUACCCUGGUAGUCCAUGCCGUAAACGUUGGGCACUAGGUGUGGGGGACAUUCCACGUUUUCCGCGCCGUAGCUAACGCAUUAAGUGCCCCGCCUGGGGAGUACGGCCGCAAGGCUAAAACUCAAAGGAAUUGACGGGGGCCCGCACAAGCGGCGGAGCAUGCGGAUUAAUUCGAUGCAACGCGAAGAACCUUACCAAGGCUUGACAUGAACCGGAAAUACCUGGAAACAGGUGCCCCGCUUGCGGUCGGUUUACAGGUGGUGCAUGGUUGUCGUCAGCUCGUGUCGUGAGAUGUUGGGUUAAGUCCCGCAACGAGCGCAACCCUCGUUCUAUGUUGCCAGCGCGUUAUGGCGGGGACUCAUAGGAGACUGCCGGGGUCAACUCGGAGGAAGGUGGGGACGACGUCAAAUCAUCAUGCCCCUUAUGUCUUGGGCUUCACGCAUGCUACAAUGGCCGGUACAAAGGGUUGCGAUACUGUGAGGUGGAGCUAAUCCCAAAAAGCCGGUCUCAGUUCGGAUUGGGGUCUGCAACUCGACCCCAUGAAGUCGGAGUCGCUAGUAAUCGCAGAUCAGCAACGCUGCGGUGAAUACGUUCCCGGGCCUUGUACACACCGCCCGUCAAGUCACGAAAGUUGGUAACACCCGAAGCCGGUGGCC
rnacentral:rRNA from 1 species